GGUGAGUAACACGUUGGAACCUGCCCCAAAGUAAGGGAUAAGCCACCGAAAGGUGGUCUAAUACCUUAUAGUAUCCAUCUCGUAUGGAUUAAAGCUUUAUGCGCUUUGGGAGGGGCCUGCGUUUGAUUAGCUAGUUGGUGAGGUAAAAGCUCACCAAGGCUACGAUCAAUAGCUGGUUUGAGAGGAUGACCAGCCACACUGGGACUGAGAUACGGCCCAGACUCC
rnacentral:rRNA from 1 species